rnacentral:rRNA from 1 species
UACGUAGGGUGCAGGCGUUAAUCGGAAUUACUGGGCGUAAAGCGUGCGCAGGCGGUCUUUUAAGUCAGAUGUGAAAUCCCCGGGCUUAACCUGGGAACCGCGUUUGAAACUGAAAGGCUAGAGUGUGGCAGAGGGGGGUGGAAUUCCACGUGUAGCAGUGAAAUGCGUAGAGAUGUGGAGGAACACCGAUGGCGAAGGCAGCCCCCUGGGCUAACACUGACGCUCAUGCACGAAAGCCAGGGGAGCGAACGGG